UACGGAGGUGGCUAGCGUUGUUCGGAUUUAUUGGGUGUAAAGGGUCUGUAGGCGGCUUGGCAAGUUGGGUGUGAAAUCUCGCGGCUUAACCGCGAAACUGCGCUCAAAACUACCGAGCUUGAGUUUGGGAGAGGAAGAUGGAAUUCCCGGUGUAAGGGUGAAAUCUGCAGAUAUCGGGAAGAACACCAGUUGCGAAGGCGAUCUUCUGGCCUAAAACUGACGCUGAGAGACGAAAGCUAGGGGAGCGAACGGG
rnacentral:misc_RNA from 1 species